GAUUACUGACUGCAGAUGGAUUGUCUCAUCUGCAGAUUCCCACCUGCAGAGAUCCAAGGCAUUAAUUGAAAGCAUUUAAAGGUGAUGCUUGGAAAAACCAACAUCUCCUCUUUUACUGUGUUUUAAAGUUUUAUUCUGCCAUUAACAGACCCUGGAACCACUCAUUGUGAGCAUAAAACUGCAUGUUCAAACACUUAAACCUGCACUCCCUGCUCUCUAAAGUGUACCAUGGUAUAUCUUGCAUUUUGAAAUCACAAAUCAACAGUGUUCAAUUGGUGAGACAGAUCCAGCUUUGCAGCUUCGUGGGUUUCUUCAAGUUAGCAAACCUUUCUGAACUUGAGGUUGUUCAUCUGUGAAUUUUCUACUUCGUGGAGUCUCCAGUGAACAAAAAUGAAUGAGGUAAAUUACCUAGCAUGGAGACAGGCCAUGGUCUCUGAUCUCCCCUGUUUCCUCCUCUCAGAAGCAGAAGGGCUUGUCGGGGAGUGGACAAUUUGAAGUGAUCCUCCAGAUUAUCCGUCGCUGAUCCUCAAUAUGAUUCUUGAUUACAUAUCUCAAAUUGGCUUUUAUAUUGAAAGAAAACCGAGGCUCUGGUGAUAAUGUAAAUUAAAUACAUCAAACUCACUCCAGUGUAGUCUUAUAAUCUGAAAGGCAGUGUGCUUCCAAUAGAUAUUUCUGGAUCUUGUUGGCUCCUGCAUCCCAGUGUCUGACUAGAGCCUGGCACACAGUUGAAUACUUAAUGAAUACUUCUUAAAUAAAUUAAUGAGUGAUGCAUAGUUCUAAUGAUCUAAGGCAUGGGUUAGAAGCAUUUAAACAUGACAUAAGACCAGAAAGUAUCUUCUCUUCUCUGUAUGCUCGAUUUGAGUUCUGUCAUUUAAAAAUUCACAGGCUAAGGAUCAUGUUUAUAACCACUAAAAGAUAAUUGACCUGAAAAGAGAACAUUAUGUGCAAGCAUGAUGUUAGCUAUCAUUUCCUUUAAUUCAGAUACCAGUGGUACAUGCUGUGGUGUUAGCUCCGGCUUUAUGGAGAGGUUAACUUUGUCCAAAGUCACACAGGUAAGAUGUAGAGGAGCAGAAAUUUGAGUCUAAGGAUAUCUGGAUCCAAAGCCGAUGUUGAUUUCACCACAUCAAAUUAGAUAAAUAGUUAGGAAAAGUUUUAACUAACUUUAAAAGUUAACUGAAGAAAUGCCAACCUCCUUACUGCCCAAGUGAAAUGAUUUCUUGAACUCCAAGAUUUGUUUGAUAAUAAAAGAAUGUCCCUUCUGAGAGGACGUGUACUUUAAGAAUAGGUAGAUUCACCUUGGAAUUAAGAGGAGGAGAGGAGGCAGGGUGUUGGUUAGUAUAAAGGACAAUGGGUGGUCUCAAGAGAUUAGCAUUGUCUUUAUACUUACACUUAGUGUAUGAGGCAUAUUGCCGUAGUCCCUUAGAGGUGGAGAGUUUUUCAAAAAAAAAAAACAGAAUGGUUCCAGGGUCACAAGAACAGAUGGGACUGAUGGAAACAGCUUCGAAAAUGAUUGCAGUGUCCUGCCUGGAGGAAGUCUGGUGAGGAGGAGGAGGAAGGAAGUUGUCCAUAGCUUGAACAGAGGCUGUGACCAUAUGUUGGAACAGAGGGACCAAGGGACAGUAUAAAAGAUGUUAAUAACACGAAGAGAAAGGAAGUGAAGGGUUGGAAAUGGCACUAAGUCUGCUGUGUUGGAAAGCCGAUGAUGUGCCUUCCCCUCGUGUUGUUGGACAACCAAGUUCUCCCCCUGCACAGGACCAACUGUUGGCUUAGUAAGAUAGCUCCAUUGUAAGCCUCAUGCAGGCAGAAAUUACGCUGGCAUACUUACUUGUACAUACUCUGAUACCAAAUAUUUUACGUGAAUAAAUAACCCCAAGCCCAAUAUUUAUGCCUUGUCACAAAAACCUGAGCUCUGGAUCCAGACUGUCUAGGUUCAGAUCCCAGUUUUACAAUUCAGGGUAUUUAUAACUGGGUAUAACUGGCCACAAGUAUGUAUUUACCACUGAGAAGCCAGCUUGCUGAUGAGUGACAAUGAUGAUGAUAAUAGAAGUUACAGAUUUCUCUGGGAUUCAGAUGUGCCAGGCAUCAUCUGAUGUGUAUGAUCUUAAGUUUCCUCAUUGAUAAAUAAAGGUUACAGUUACUUUACUUUUUUGGCUAAGAGUGAAGAUGAAAUAAGUUUAAUGCAUGUGAAAUAUUUAGAACAAAUCCUGGCAUAAAGUCAACUUUCAAUAAACAUGAACCAUUAUAAAAAACUUUCCUUUCUCUUUAAUCUCAAAUCUUUUGCCUAUCACUUAUCGUAGUUCUAGGGAUUACUGUUGAAAUAAUUCACCUUCGCAUAAACAUUCAUAUUCUUUCUCGCCCUCUUAUUUCUUUCCCGAUUUAUUUACUUUUCCUUCUUGCCUAACCUCAAGAAAAUCUCUCUAUCCCUCUGCUCCAUUUUUAAAACAUUGAGAAAGAGGGGGGAAAAUGAUCUAAAUUUCCUUGGAAAAAGCCAGCUGGAAUCAGUUAUCAGUUAUUGCCACAAUCCAUGAAAAUCUCCAAAUUGACGUCAGAACUUUCACAUCUCCCUCAGCCUCUGCAGACACCUCUCAUUACAUGUUCUUUCCUCCAGCAUCCGCACUUGAUGCAAACCAUUAUUCCUCAUUUAACUGUAUUGUCCUAUUUAUUCUCUUUUACUUAGUUUCUCUUAUUAGAGUUAUUGCAGUUGCUUUGGGAUACUUUUUCCAUUGCAAGGGAAUGGUGUUUAAGCUAUGCUUGAAGCGAAUAUGUUGCUGUGGGCUAGCUUGUAAACUUAAGGGCCUUUUUUAAUAUCAUUCUGUGAAAAAUGUAUAUUCUUUAUCCUGAACAGCUGACUCAGAUAGGAACUUUCUUACAUGUAGACACUUACAUGGCCAUAUAUUAUCUCAUGUAGCUCUACUUAUACAGGAGUAUGUUUUGUUAUUUCCAUAUGGCAAAUAAAAAUAUGAGAAAUUUAAAUAAAUUACCUAAGUCAUGUAACAAUCAGGACAGAAGAAGGAACAAGAGACCUUUUCUGUUCACUUUCAAUCCACCACACUAACCCCUCCUGCCAUACACAAUUAGAUCAGGGAGUAAAUUUAUUUUAUUUUAUUUUUGAUUUUUAGGGCCACACCUGUGGCAUUUGGAAGUUCCCAGGCUAGGGGAUGAAUCAGAGCUACAGCUGCUGACCUAUGCCACAGCCACAGCAACACGGGAUCCAAGCCACAUCUGCAGCCUAUACCACAGCUCACAGCAACACCGCAUCCUUAACCCACUGAGGAAGGCAAGGGAUCGAACCUGCAUCCUCAUGAAUACUAGUCAAAUUUGUUUCCACUGUGCCACAAUGGGAACUCCCAAAAUAUGCAUUUACAACUGAGAAGCUGGCUAGCUGUUGAGUGAUAAUGAUGAUAAUAGGAGUUACAAGUUUUUCAGAGAUUCAAACCUACAUUGUCUUAAGUGUGUGAUCUUAGUUAAGCCUCAUUAUAGUCAUGACAGAUGGGGCUUGUCACCACGGACAUGGGCAUCCUGGCAGUGAAGACUUUGUCAAAGGUCACAUCGUCAGUGAGUGGCAGGACUGGGAUUCAAAUUCAGUCUCUUUGGCUCUCAACUCCACAUUUUUAUCACCUUCACAUUCUGCUUCUUUAACGGUGGGAUAAGAUGCACGCCUCCUCUCCCCAGCAGCCACAUUAAGUCAAGGGUAGAAUAGACUGAACACAGGUGGGAAUGGCUGUAGCUCCUGUUGGUAUGCAAGACAACACCCCAGGAGAAAAAUCAGAGCUAAACAGAAAGAUGUAUUUACAUCUGAUUCAUAAACCGGUGGGAACAGAUGCCAUUGUCCAGUGUCCGAGAGGAAAGGAAGAGAAAAGCAGUGAUGGAGUCCUCGAGUGACUCUCACCAUCGGUAUGUGGAUGGAGGCAAAACUGGUAGGAUGUGAGAGCCUGCUUUUCUAGGGAGUCUUUUAAUGAAUCCUCAGAGAGACAAUUUGUUACAAGUGAGAAUUGCCUUGAAACUUAAUGGCAUUCGGCAACUUAAUUCCUUCUUCAGUCUGUGAACAGUUUUGCUUUGUAUGAGUAUUAAAUUAAUAUUGUUCUGUAUGCAAUUUGUAUAUAGGCCGAGUUAACAGACUUUUCUUAAUGGUCACAAAUUAUAUUUUGUAGAAAUUUGAAAUAUCCCUGUCAGUUUAUAAUGAUACUAUGCAAAUCAUUAUCAUAAGGAAUGAUUUGUAAGUAGUUCUAAUUUUUAGGUAUUAACAUUUUUUUUUUCUCCAGUCUGGUCACUAGAGAAAUAUUACCUUCUUUUUAUUGUUUUUUUUUUUUCUUAUUAUAAUGCCUUCUCUGGCUUAAGAGAAUCCCACUAAUUUAUUUAAUAGCUCCUCAAACAGUUUGUAAUCAGCAGGAGAGUUACAGACUGAGGUUUUCAACUUCUUCUCUUAUAAAUAGAUACAAGUAAAACUACUAGAAUGCCUGGAAAAUACCCUGACUGAUUGAAUAUAAUCUGAAAAGAAAUUCUAGCAGAUUCAUUUUCCCACAUUUAUUUUUUAUGAGAUUUUUAUUUUUUCUAUUAUGGUUGAUUUACAAUGUUAUGUCAAUUUCUGCUAUACAGCAAAGUGACCCAGUCAUUCAUACAUAUAUGCAUAUAUAUAUAUGUAUAUACACACAUUCUUUUUCUUAUAUUAUCCUCCAUCAUGUUCCAUCAUGAGUGACUAGAUAUAGUUCCCUGUGCUACACAGCAGAAUCUCAUUGCUUAUCCACUCCAAAUGCUAUAGUUUGCAUCUGCUAACCCAAACUCCCGGUCCAUCCCACUCCCCCACCUUCAUUUCCCACAUUUAUACAACCUACUUUAAUGAAUACCUUAACCAAAACCAUUGUGAUUCCACCUCUUGAGAGUUAGCCAUGCACCUAAAUUUGUUUCCUAUCAUUACCAAAUUGUUAGCAUAUUUUUUUUUCAAAAUAUACUUCUGAUCAUGCCACUUUCCUGCUUAAAACCCUUCAGUGGAUUGCAGCUAUUCUAUUCUUGGGAUAAAAUCCAUAUUUCUUUUUAUGACUUCUACAGUCCAUUGUGAUCUAUCUCAUUCCCACCUCUUCAUGUUUAUCUCCUGUCAGCACCCCAUCCAUGCUUUUGCAAAGCCCCUUUCUGCAGCAGUCUUUUCCCACAUGCUAUUUCAUCCUUCCCUGUUCUCACCACAUCCUCAUUUUUUCCUACUCUUCAAGUCUCAGGCCUUUUAUUAUAAUUUUUCAUAAUUUUCUAUGCUUCUCUGAGCAAGUAGUGCAGUGUAAUUAAUGAUUUGCUAAUAAAUACAUUAUUUUUGUGUCUUUCACCCUUACUAGACUAAAGACAAGGGCCACUUCUGUUAUUCACGUCUGUAUUUGCAGCAUAUAAUAUAGAAUCAGGUACAUCAUUGAUCACACAAAAUGUUUUAUGAAUUAGUUAAUAUAUCAAGCACUUUGAUAAGUGUCUGGCAUAGAGGAAGUACUCCUACUUAAAUUGUUUUUGUCAUUGGUAUUGUUUUUACUUUCCCUUUAUUAGUAGACUACUUUUAAAAAAAAUUUAAAUAACUUUUUUGUCUUUUUAGGUCUGCACCCGCAGCAUGUAGAGGUUCCCAGGCUAGGGGUUGAAUCCGAGCUGUAGCCACUGGGCUACACCACAGACACAGCAAUGCCAGAUCUGAGGUGCAUCUGUGACCUACACCACAGCUCACAGAAACACCAGAUCCUUAACCCAUUGGGCAAGCCUGGGGAUCGAACCUGCGUCCGCAUGGAUACCAGUCAGGUUUGUUUCCACUGAGCCGUGAUGGGAACUCUGAUUAAUUUUUUAAAUUUUAAUUUUUUUAAGCAUAGUUGACUUACAGUAUUAUAUUAAUUUCAGGUGUAUAGCGUAGUGAUUCAGUACUUAUGGAUUACCCACAAUAAAAUGUUAUUAUAAUAUUAUUAAUCAUAUUCCCUUAUGACAUUUAUUUUAUAAAUAGAAGCUUGUACCUUUUAAUUGCCUUAACCUUUUUCACCUAUUCUCUCAUCCUCCUUGCCUAUUAACUACUUAUUUGUUCUCUGUAUCUGUGAGUCUGUUGCUGUUUUGUUAUAUUUGUUUGUUUUACUUUUUAGAUUCCACACAUAAGCAAAUAAAUACAGUAUUUGCCUUUCUCUGUCUGACUUAUUUUACUGACCAUAAUAUUCUCCAGGUGCCUCCAUGUGUUUGCAAAUGGCAAGAUUUUCAUUCAUUUUAUGGCUAAUAUUCAUGGUAUAUAUACCACAUCUUCUUUAUUUAUUCAUCUGUUGAUGGAUACUUAAGCUUCUUCCAUAUCUUGGUGGUUGUAAAUAAUGCUACAAUAAAUAUCGGGGUGCAUAUAUUUUUUCAAAGUAGUGUUUUUGUUUUUUUUUUCAGAUAAAUACCCAGGAGUGGAAUUGAUGAAUUGUGGGUAGUUUUAUUUUUUAAUUUUUUGAGGAACCAUCGCACUGUUUUCCACAGAGGCUGCACCAGUUUACAUUAUUACCACCAGAAGUCCACCAGAGUUCCUUUUCUUCACAUCUUUAUCAACAUUUAUUACUUCUUGUCUUUUUCAUGAUAGUCAUUACAACAGGUGUGAGGUGCUAUUUCUUUGUGGUUUUGAUUUGCAUUUAUCUGAUGAUGGGUAAUGAUGAACAUCUUCUCUUGUGCCUGUUGGCCGGCCAACUGUAUGUCUUAUUUGGGGGGGAAAUGUCUAUUCAGGUCCUCUACUCAUUUUUAAAUCAAACUCUUUGUGUCUUUGUUGUUGAGUUGUAUGGAGCUUUUAAAUAUAUUUUAGAUAUUAACCCUUCCCGUGCAUAGUCAUUUACAAAUAUCUUCUCCUCCCACUCAACAGGUUGCCUCAUCGUUUUGUCGAUGGUUUCCUUUGCUGUAGUGGAUGUUGAUUAAAAGGGUCUUGUACAGUGAUGGAGGACCUUGGGUCCUAAUUAUAGCUCUGCUAUGUAGUCUUUGGAAAGUCAUCUAGUUUUUCUGGGCUUCAGUUUUCUUGCUUUUACAGGCAUUUCUUAAGAAUCUUCAUUUUAAAAAAAAAAAAAAAAA
rnacentral:lncRNA from 1 species